rnacentral:tRNA from 1 species
CGGUGCGCUUGCCCGCCGCCUGGUGCGGCCUGGUGGGUUUCAAACCGACCCUGGGACGCAUCCCGAUCGACCCGUACUACACCGGUCGCACCGCC